ensembl:lncRNA
CAAAGGAUGGAGGCAGAAGCAAGAUUCCACACACUCACUUAUGCGCACGCACACACAAACACAAUGGACUUUACACAUGCUAAUGCUGCAAGGCGGCCCCUUUAUAUGAGAUUACACAGACAUUACAGUGAAAGGGUCAUAUGGGGCACCUGUAGCUGAGCGGCUCCACAGCCUGUGUUUGGUGUUUUUAGGUGUGUGUGUGUGUGUGUGCGUGCGUGCGUGCAUGCAUAAAAACAGCAAGAGAAUGAAAGGGUUUAAACUGAAGUAUGAGCAGACCUCGACGAGUGAUAAAGAGCCAACACUGGAGCCAUUCAGAGGACACUGUGCAUAUGUUGUGUGUGCAGUAAGACACUCUUUGUAUGAGUGAGUGUUUCUCUCCCUGUGUGCGUGUGCCUGUGUGUGGGCCCCAGGCUGACUCUGACAGCUCAGUGCUAGCCAUCUGCUGGCAGUCACACCAAGAGAAAGCCAACCACAGCCAAACAAUGGAGAGCAAUGACAAGCCAAUAUUCGUGUGUACGUGCCUUCAUUUUGGUGUGGUGUGAGAGUUCUCCCUUCAAAGAUCCAAAUGAGUCCCUCACUAUGAGCAUGUGCAGAGGGGCGUGGCUGUUGUUGAUAGGCUGUCUCUGUUACCAGGCGAUAGCUUAACAAGCCCAAAUGGCCAUCUGAGCAGGAUAGAUAGCAUGGGCAAGUGUGGGCUCCAUUUCUUUUUUUCUCACAUGCUGUCUGCCUACUGCCCGUUAGUGUGUCUGUCCAUCCCCUUUUCUAUUUCAUCAUCUCUCACCCUCUGGCUCUUCCACUCUCUCGUUGUACAUUCAACCUACAGCUUUCCUUUGAAGGCGAGGUGGUUGUACACUACCGAGAUUCGGUAUAGCGCCAUGGUGAAUGCAGACAGAUGGGCAGGUGUGGGGAGAAAGCUGGCUCGCCUGAAUUUGACACACCAGUGUGACAGCGAGCAUCAUCCAGCUGGAGGCCUGCAGAGCCUCCUAGAAAGAGCAUGCCAGGUGGCCAAGACACAGGCUGCUGGUCUCCCGAAGCCACUACGCACACAACUCUCCAGUCAAUAUCCAACCAUUUCGAUACUCCACCAACAAACGCUGCAAAGGGUGGUUUCCGCCGAAGAAAUACAGAUAGCAGAAGCAGGGGAACUACAAAGUAAAUGCCCGAUAAAGAACGAUACUAACAGUCAGUGGAGGUGACUGGGAUUAACUUCCCACAUCACAGAUUUGGGGGACAUGUUGAUGCUGACAUAAUUUGCAUUUCCUUGUUGCAUAAUCUGAGAACAGCGGUGCAGAUGGUGAAGCCUGUCAAGUUGUGGCUCGUGCAGCACGUGCUGUGUGAUGGUCCGGUCUGAAGUUAAAAUCAUGCUUAACAGUGAAAUGUGGGAUAUUCAUGAGAUGUCUGCAUGCUUCUAUUUGCAGAAAAAAGGGAAAAAGAUGUUAAGAGAAUAAAGAAAGUGAGCCUCUUUGUUUCUAUUUGACACGGUACGCUGUUGUAUCCUCAGCCACCCAUAAGCCUCCACCCUCACCACCCUCACCACCCUAACCUUUGUUUCUCUCUGCUUCUCCACCCACUAUCUUGGGAAGUGUAGUGUUUUAUUUGUAGUUUUUAUAAACAGUGAUAUGUUUUUAUACCUGGACAUAAAAAAGCUGUUGCAAUCCCAUUCUGAGUCCUAAACCCUCACAUAAAAGCAUGUUUUCCCUCAGAUAGUAUGAACACAUUUAGCUGGAAAGAUUGUUGAUUCUUGUGGUUAAUUUAUCUCGGAGUCUCAGACACCCAGUGCUGUGCUGUGCUUGCAAGUCAACCGUGCACGACGGUGGUCCUUAGGUUGGUCCUUAGGUGCGGUUAGCAAGAAUGUCGCACAAACAAAAGACACACAGUUACACACCAACACGCACAUAACAGGCUCAUGUAAAGGCCACGUGAGGCAGAACUCAACCAUAAAAUGCUUAAACUUCAUACAUCAGUGCUCUUUCCAUCUCAAUCCCUCCCACCCAUCACAUCCUUCCACUCCCUCCUCACUCUCUCCUCCCCUCCUCCUUCGCCAUGGCGGCCCACCUGGUAGUGAUCGCGUCUGGAUCUUUUGGGGUGUGAGAUGUAUUCUAACGGCAUAAAUAGCUUCCCAGUGACCACAUUAAGGAGCCUAAUCUCCUGAUCACACCUCCUCACCUGUUUUCCCCUCUCUCAUCUCUUCAUUACCUUGUUCACCAAACCCUUCCUGUCCUGCAGAGAGUGUGUCCUCAGGCUUAACAAGAUCAAUCCCUUCGAACUCCUUGUACUCACUGCUAAAUGUCGCUCAUUAAGCACGGGGAGGAACUCUUCCUGUGGUCUUUUUUUCUGUGUGUGUGUGUGACUACGUGGUGGGUGAGAAAGAGAGGCAGCAGGAACCAGAGAAAGACAGACACAGUCGGUCCAUUUAAAAUCGAGCUGUGAUCUACUUCCAGGGGGAAAGGAAGCAAAGAGAGUGGCGAAAGUCAAAAUAUUAUUUCGGAAAGGUCAGUGCACGACAGAGAGAGAUAGAGAGAGAGGUGUAAGGGAAAAGGCAGAGAGGCUGCAUGUGUGUCUCUGUGUGUGCAAGCCGGUGUGUGCGCAAUGUAGCGAACAAGUGAGCCAAACCUCACCGCUGACUUGGCCAGGGCCUCUGGAGCCAGAGAGAAAGCCCCGCUAACCACAGCCUCUCUUUCUGUGUGUGUGUGUGUGUCCCGCUCAAAUGCACACCCGAUGCUGAAAGCAUCUCACUGUGUGAAUACGUCAUUUCACAACAUGUGUUACUGGCCAGGAGGGCAAGGGAAGUAGCCUGGGAGAGAGAGAGAGAGAGAGAGAGAAAAGACCAUAGAGGAAGAGAAAAGCUGCAGAGGCCAUGGACCAAAGUGAGAGAACAACGCAGCGCAUUCACUCUCAUCCGGAGCGAGGCAAAACAGGAAACAUUCCCUCGGUCCACUUGUGUGACCCUCUCAACCUCCUGCCCUCGCCACUUCAUCUGUAUUUAAAUUCCUGUCGCCGCGGCUCAUUAUCUUUCCCAAUAGGUUGUUGCAUCGCUGCACUUUAAGUCAAUAGCCACAGCCGCAGAGCCACGGCCGUGACAAAGGGAUGGGGGGGGGGGGGUUCUCCACGCGGCAGCACCGGGUACGAGGACCUGCCACUGCUCGUCCACGGCCCGCUUAUGCGUCGCCGUGACAUUAGCUGCCCCGUGGCUGGGCACGGUGUGCGAGGCCUGCCCUCUGGUCGCCCUGUGCGUAGAUAUACGGCAAACACCUAUUAGGUACGAAUAUUCAGGCUUGGCUAAAACACUGCACCUUUCAGACAACAAGUUCCUCAGGAACAGAAAAGGGAUGAAAGACAUAAUAUCAGCCUGUGUGAAGAUAUUGCGCCUCACGCUGUAUUCUUGGACAACGAAGACAGCAGGAACACCACACACACACACACACACACACACACACACACACACACACACACAGUGUUCAGUGCUGCUGAACAGGUAGGUGCAGGUUUUCUUUGGCAUGGUUGUUUUUUUUAUUGCUCUUUUCGAAUGCUGAAGGUUGAGGCAAAGCUACUCAGAGCUGUGUGUGUGUGUGUGUGUGUGUGUGUGUGUGUGUGUUUUCAGAGUGUGGUAGUAGGCAGAGACAAAAGGAGCAUAUGGCAGCAGCAGCAGCCAAGGCUGUAAAUUAAACAUAGAGGAAGAUUAGACAAUGAAUGUGUGCUGUGAGACAGAGAGACAGCACUGAGCCAGAGGCGGAGAAGACCACUGCAGGGCGGUGUGACUGUUUGUGUGUGCGUGUGUGCGGUAUAACCACAUAUUAAACACUUUGAACAAAGGAAGGUGACUGACUGCCAUUGAAGUCUUAUAAAACAAAAAAAGAUGAAGAUAAUGAGGAACAGAGAGGGGAGAGAAAUAUAUAAAAGGCCUUUAAUGACAGAGACCCAGGUCAAUGAGAGUGACAGCAACAUGAAGACGACCCCCCGCGGCCGAGGAGAACUAGACCCCCCCCCCCCCGCUUGCAACUAGACAGCUGCUGUGGCUGAAGCAAAGCUGCAUCUCUGUCAAUAGGAUUACUGAAGCUCUUCUACACAGUCCAACACAUGCUCAGAAAUUCAAACACACUAAUACUCAUAUG